AGUAACGGCGAGUGAAGCGGCAACAGCUCAAAUUUGAAAUCUGGCGCAAGCCCGAGUUGUAAUUUGUAGAGGAUGCUUCUAGGUAGCGACCGGUCUAAGUUCCUUGGAACAGGACGUCAUAGAGGGUGAGAAUCCCGUAUGUGACUGGCCCGCACCUUCUACGUAGCUCCUUCGACGAGUCGAGUUGUUUGGGAAUGCAGCUCUAAAUGGGAGGUAAAUUUCUUCUAAAGCUAAAUACCGGCCAGAGACCGAUAGCGCACAAGUAGAGUGAUCGAAAGAUGAAAAGCACUUUGGAAAGAGAGUUAAAAAGCACGUGAAAUUGUUGAAAGGGAAGCGCUCACAACCAGACUUCUAGGCAGUGUUCCGCCGGUCUUUUGACCGGUCUACUCUCUGUCUCGAGGCCAACAUCAUCUGGGACCGCUGGAUAAGACCUUAGGAAUGUAGCUCCCCUCGGGGAGUGUUAUAGCCUCUGGUGAUGCAGCGAGUCUCGGGUGAGGUCCGCGCUUCGGCAAGGAUGUUGGCGUAAUGGUUGUCAGCGGCCCGUCUUGAAACACGGACCAAGGAGUCUAACAUCUAUGCGAGUGUUCGGGUGUCAAACCCCUACGCGUAAUGAAAGUGAACGGAGGUGGGAAGCGUAAGCUGCACCAUCGACCGAUCCUGAUGUCCUCGGAUGGAUUUGAGUAAGAGCAUAGCUGUUGGGACCCGAAAGAUGGUGAACUAUGCCUGAAUAGGGUGAAGCCAGAGGAAACUCUGGUGGAGGCUCGCAGCGGUUCUGACGUGC
rnacentral:rRNA from 1 species